rnacentral:lncRNA from 1 species
GCUCAGUGGUCGAGUGCCCCUGAGUUCAGAUCUCUAUACUGCCCCUGCCCCACCCCACCCCCCGCCAAAAAAUACUGAACAAGUGCAUGAAGAAUGAGCCAACUUGGGCCUUUUGCUCAAAGUCUCUCCCUGCUCUCUCACUCUGUUAUCCUCCAACAGGAGGAUAACAACAAACAUGUUGGAGGUCUAUUCCUCUAAAACCUUUGAUCUCCAAGGACAUUCAAGACUGUGGAGUUUUCUGGAAACACUGGAACAUCCCGUACAAUGAGUGCAAAUGCAAACAGGUGAAAAUUCACUUGCUGACUCCCAAUGGUCAGACAGGAAGGGAACCCAGCAGAUCCUACAGUGGACCCCUCAGGAGAACUCUUUGUAUCGGCCCCUCGGAUUUUGAUUAUCUUUCUUGAGGCUUGAGUUUCACAUUUUGAUAGGUAAUGAAUUUGACGAGUCAAAGAUAUCAAGAUAAUAAGUUUGCAGGCCUAAUUUGGUUAAUUGCCACGUUGCUGCUGAUAGAGGCCAGGCCUAGAAGUCAAAGCUAUUUCCUCUGCUAAUCUGCUC